GAUAUACUCCCUCCGUCCCAAAGUUAUUGUCUUGAAUUUGUUUAGAUAUGGAUGUAUAUAGUCAUGUUUUAGUAUCUGGAUGCAUCCAUAUUUAGAAAAAUGUAAGACAAGAAUUUUGGGACGGAGGGAGCAGUAU
rfam:Hordeum vulgare subsp. vulgare, WGS project CAJW01000000 data, contig: morex_contig_53675